rnacentral:rRNA from 1 species
GACUAACGCUGGCGGCGUGCCUAACACAUGCAAGUCGAACGGUAACAUGUUUGUAGCAAUACAAAUGAUGACGAGUGGCGCACGGGUGAGUAACACAUCGGAACGUACCCUGUCGUGGGGGAUAACGAGUCGAAAGAUUCGCUAAUACCGCAUACGACCCGAGGGUGAAAGCGGGGGACCGAAAGGCCUCGCACUAUUGGAGCGGCCAAUAUCGGAUUAGCUAGUUGGUGGGGUAAAGGCCUACCAAGGCGACGAUCCGUAGCUGGUUUGAGAGGACGACCAGCCACACUGGGACUGAGACACGGCCCAGACUCCUACGGGAGGCAGCAGUGGGGAAUCUUGCACAAUGGGGGAAACCCUGACGCAGCGACGCCGCGUGAGCGAAGAAGGCCUUAGGGUUGUAAAGCUCUGUUUUAAGGGACGAAUGUUACGGGGAGUAAUAUGCCCUGUAAAUGACGGUACCUUAAGAGGAAGCCCCGGCUAACUACGUG